UACGUAGGGUGCAAGCGUUGUCCGGAAUUAUUGGGCGUAAAGAGCUCGUAGGCGGUUUGUCGCGUCGGCUGUGAAAACUCGGGGCUCAACUCCGAGCUUGCAGUCGAUACGGGCAGACUAGAGUUCGGCAGGGGAGACUGGAAUUCCUGGUGUAGCGGUGAAAUGCGUAGAUAUCGGGAGGAACACCGAUGGCGAAGGCAGUUCUCUGGGCCGUAACUGACGCUGAGGAGCGAAAGCGUGGGGAGCGAACAGG
rnacentral:rRNA from 1 species